AGUCGUUUGGGCGACUUAAAAUAGCUGAUUUAGCCCAAAGCGUUCUCAGAGGUAAAACUCUGAGAUGUUCAG
rnacentral:ribozyme from 1 species